AUUGAACGCUGGCGGCAGGCCUAACACAUGCAAGUCGAGCGGAUGAAGGGAGCUUGCUCCUGGAUUCAGCGGCGGACGGGUGAGUAAUGCCUAGGAAUCUGCCUGGUAGCGGGGGAUAACGUCCGGACACGGGCGCUAAUACCGCAUACGUCCUGAGGGAGAAAGUGGGGGAUCUUCGGACCUCACGCUAUCAGAUGAGCCUAGGUCGGAUUAGCUAGUUGGUGGGGUAAAGGCCUACCAAGGCGACGAUCCGUAACUGGUCUGAGAGGAUGAUCAGUCACACUGGAACUGAGACACGGUCCAGACUCCUACGGGAGGCAGCAGUGGGGAAUAUUGGACAAUGGGCGAAAGCCUGAUCCAGCCAUGCCGCGUGUGUGAAGAAGGUCUUCGGAUUGUAAAGCACUUUAAGUUGGGAGGAAGGGCAGUAAGUUAAUACCUUGCUGUUUUGACGUUACCAACAGAAUAAGCACCGGCUAACUUCGUG
rnacentral:rRNA from 1 species